GACGAACGCUGGCGGCGUGCUUAACACAUGCAAGUCGAACGGAAAGGCGCUGCUUUUGUGGGGUGCUCGAGUGGCGAACGGGUGAGUAACACGUGAGUAACCUGCCCUUGACUUUGGGAUAACUUCAGGAAACUGGGGCUAAUACCGGAUAGGAUCUCCUGCUGCAUGGUGGGGGUUGGAAAGUUUCGGCGGUUGGGGCUGGACUCGCGGCUUAUCAGCUUGUUGGUGUGGUAGUGGCUGACCAAGGCUUUGACGGGUAGCCGGCCUGGGAGGGUGACCGGCCACAUUGGGCCUGAGGUAGGGCCCAGACGCCUACGGGCGGCAGCAGUGGGGAGUAUUGCACAAUGGGCGGAAGCCUGAUACAGCAACGCCGCGUGCGUGAUGACGGGCUUCGGGUUGUAAACCGCUUUCGACUGUGACGAAGCGUGAGUGACGGUAAUGGGUAAAGAAGCACCGGCUAACUACGUG
rnacentral:rRNA from 1 species